GGUUGUGAGGGUGAUCCAGCUGCAAUAUCUGUCACCCCACUGAUCACCAGGGCUAAUUCAGCUAAUGUGGCUGGCUAGGCAGGUGUCCUCUUCCUCCCUAACCACUCCAAGUGCAUUCCUCCAGAACCUGUGCUCUCAAUCGAAGAGGAUGAGCUUCCCCAAUACUGGUCAAGGGUACAUGAGUAGCUAUGCGCACCCGCUAGAACCUCUAAACUCAUGGGCUCAAGUGAUCCUCCUGCCUCAGUCUCCCAACUAGCUGAGACUACAGGCAUGCUACCAUACCUGGUUAAAUUUUGACUUGUUAAACAAUGUCA
rnacentral:snRNA from 1 species